UAAGUAAACCAGACAAUCGCUGCUUUAAAAUUACAAUUACAGCAGAGGAAAGUCCGAGCUUCAUAGGGCAGGGUGCUGGGUAACUCCCAGUCAGGGUGACCUGAAGGAAAGUGCAACAGAAAUAUACCGCUGCAGAAACAGAUUAUAUUUGAUUUUGACUGCAGUAAGGUUGGAAAGGCGAGGUAAGAGCUCACCAGCGCAGGGGUGAUCCUGCGGCUGUGUAAACCCCAUCUGAAGCAAGAUCGAAUAGGAAAGCAUGAGAAAAGUGGCCCGCUUUGCUUUCGGGUAGUAUCGCUGGAACCCACUGGCAACAAUGGGUCUAGAUAGAUGAUUGUCUAAUACAGAACUCGGCUUACAGAUUUACUUACGGG
rnacentral:RNase_P_RNA from 1 species